GAGGUGGAUGGGAGCCUCAGGUAUCCAGGGCCAAAGGAAUGGCGUGAUCCGUUCUGGUACAACAGACAAGAGCUAGUACCUUCCCCUCCACUCUCAGAUCCUCUCAGAAUGGGCCAGAGGCUCUGAUGUCUUCAAACCUUAUUGCCAAUCCAACCAGGCCUCAGCAGUUUCAUUUAGACAUGACUUAGGUAAGGAUGUGGCUCCCUCCUGGAUCGCCUGCCUUACCCCGGGCCGAGACAGAUAGGAGUACGCAUUUGGCUUGGCAGCCGUGGGAACCCCACGCGGUGGGAAAGGGAACAGCAGCUCCCACAAACGGAAAAUGCCCCUAACAUACAGCAUUCUACAGCCACCCUGUCUGUUGGAGCAGCAGCGCCAGGUUUGAUGUGGCUGAAGGCGGGGCCAGACUGGG